rnacentral:tRNA from 1 species
GUCACCAUGGUGUAGUCGGUUAUCACAUGUCCUUUACACGGACAAGGCCCUCGGUUCGAUUCCGAGUGGUGACA